rnacentral:rRNA from 1 species
UACAGAGGUCUCAAGCGUUGUUCGGAUUCAUUGGGCGUAAAGGGUGCGUAGGCGGCGCGGUAAGUCGGGUGUGAAAUCUCGGAGCUUAACUCCGAAACUGCAUUCGAUACUGCCGUGCUUGAGGACUGGAGAGGAGACUGGAAUUUACGGUGUAGCGGUGAAAUGCGUAGAUAUCGGGAGGAACACCGGUGGCGAAGGCGGGUCGUCUGGGCCGAUGACUGACGCUGAGGAGCGAAAGACAUGGGUAGCGAACAGG